rnacentral:rRNA from 1 species
AUUCCUACGGGAGGCAGCAGUGGGGGAUAUUGCACAAUGGAGGAAACUCUGAUGCAGCAACGCCGCGUGAAGGAUGAAGGUCUUCGGAUUGUAAACUUUUGUACUUGGGGACGAUAAUGACGGUACCCAAGCAGCAAGCUCCGGCUAACUACGUGCCAGCAGCCGCGGUAAUACGUAGGGAGCAAGCGUUGUCCGGAUUUACUGGGUGUAAAGGGUGCGUAGGCGGCUAUGCAAGUCAGUUGUGAAAACUAUGGGCUCAACCCAUAGCCUGCAAUUGAAACUGCGUGGCUUGAGUGAAGUAGAGGUAGGUGGAAUUCCCGGUGUAGCGGUGAAAUGCGUAGAGAUCGGGAGGAACACCAGUGGCGAAGGCGACCUACUGGGCUUUAACUGACGCUGAGGCACGAAAGCAUGGGUAGCAAACAGGAUUAGAUACCCUGGUAGUCCAUGCCGUAAACGAUGAUUACUAGGUGUGGGGGGUCUGACCCCCUCCGUGCCGGAGUUAACACAAUAAGUAAUCCACCUGGGGAGUACGACCGCAAGGUUGAAACUCAAAGGAAUUGACGGAAU